UACGAAGGGGGCUAGCGUUGCUCGGAAUCACUGGGCGUAAAGGGUGCGUAGGCGGGUUUUAAGUCAGAGGUGAAAUCCUGGAGCUCAACUCCAGAACUGCCUUGAUACUGAAAGUCUUGAGUAUGGGAGAGGUGAGUGGAACUGCGAGUGUAGAGGUGAAAUUCGUAGAUAUUCGCAAGAACACCAGUGGCGAAGGCGGCUCACUGGCCCAUUACUGACGCUGAGGCACGAAAGCGUGGGGAGCAACAGG
rnacentral:rRNA from 1 species